rnacentral:rRNA from 1 species
AUUGAACGCUGGCGGCAUGCCUUACACAUGCAAAUCGAACGGUAACGGGCCUUCGGGUGCCGACGAGUGGCGGACGGGCGAGUAAUACAUCGGAACGUGCCCGACCGUGGGGGAUAACGAGGCGAAAGCUUUGCUAAUACCGCAUAUGAUCUACGGAUGAAAGGAGGGGACCGCAAGGCCUUGCGCGGACGGAGCGGCCGAUGGCAGAUUAGGUAGUUGGUGGGAUAAAAGCUUACCAAGCCGACGAUCUGUAGCUGGUCUGAGAGGAUGAUCAGCCACACUGGGACUGAGGCACGGCCCAGACUCCUACGGGAGGCAGCAGUGGGGAAUUUUGGACAAUGGGCGCAAGCCUGAUCCAGCCAUGCCGCGUGCAGGAUGAAGGCCUUCGGGUUGUAAACUGAUUUUGUACGGAACGAAAAGCCUUCUUUUAAUACAGGAGGGUCAUGACGGUACCGGAAGAAUAAGCACCGGCUAACUACGUG